rnacentral:rRNA from 1 species
CCUACGGGUGGCAGCAGUAGGGAAUAUUGCUCAAUGGGGGAAACCCUGAAGCAGCAACGCCGCGUGGAGGAUGAAGGUUUUCGGAUUGUAAACUCCUUUUGUUAGAGAAGAUAAUGACGGUAUCUAACGAAUAAGCACCGGCUAACUCCGUGCCAGCAGCCGCGGUAAUACGGAGGGUGCAAGCGUUACUCGGAAUCACGGGGCGUAAAGAGCGCGGAGGCGGGAUAGCAAGUCAGAUGUGAAAUCCUAUGGCUUAACCAUAGAACUGCAUUUGAAACUGUUAUUCUAGAGUAUGGGAGAGGGAGGUGGAAUUCUUGGUGUAGGGGUAAAAUGCGUAGAGAUCAAGAGGAAUACUCAUUGCGAAGGCGACCUGCUAGAACAUAACUGACGCUGAUGCGCGAAAGCGUGGGGAGCAAACAGGAUUAGAUACCCCAGUAGUC